UUUCUCAGUUUCUGAUUAUGCGCAGAGUUUCCUUGUACCGAGCUUAUGUUCUCCACCCACUACUUAGUAAGAGCUCCUUAACAACUUAAAGCUUUAUCCCUCUGAGUACCAGAAAAGUGAUUUGAGUAGUUAUUGAGCAGGGAGAAUAAACUGCUUGCUACGGGCAGGGAGAAAGCUUAUGGAAAUGAUAUUAGACCUUCAGCAAAGUGCACAGCUGCAUCAUACAGAAGCCGAGACUCAAAUUGACAGGCAAAUAAGCCAGAUCACGGAAGGGGCCUCUGUGUGGCAGCUCUGAGCUCCCAAGUGUUGGACAACUAGGCAAAAAGUGCACUGGAACAGGGCAGAAAAUAGCACACUAACUUCAGGCAACUGUUGCAUUUUCAUGGCCUGGAAAGUGACGUUUUCUGUAGAUGUCAACUUCUGUCUGGUGUGAUGCUCUGUUCUUCUGGUGAUGUCACAUGCAGCACUGAGUAAUAUUGGUAAAUGGAAGAGGUCUCUUAGAAUAAGGUGUCUGCCUACCAGUCAGUUUUGCAGCGGGAUCAUUUGUAUCGCUUCACUAACUGCUGGGUGUCUAUGGGAGGCACAUGAGGCUUCCACUGCAGCGCCUGUGAACUCUCACAACUCUAGAAAAGGACAACAAGGGAGAUGUUGGAGAGUGGUACAGGCAGUGAAAUGUGGGUCAAUACUUGAUGGUGGUUCUAAGAAAGGACAAGAAAGGGCAAGAGAAGCCAAUUUUGGGAGCAUGCUCAUUGUGAUACCCUCAGUGGCUUCUAACAGGGUUUCCUUGGAAGAAUUAUCAUGUUGGAAUGUGAAGAUUACUGUUUCAAUACAUACUCGUCAGGGCUGAGAUUGUAACUGAUCAGUGAAAGAAAAAAAUUCAAAAGAAAAAGGAAACUGAAGAAGUUAAUUGUACCAGAGCAGAAUCCAGCGAAGAAUGCCUAGGCAUAGAGGAAGAGGCUCAUCCACACAAGACUCACGGACUUAAAGAGGAGCCAAAAACCCUCAUCAGAAGAGUUAGUUCCCUCUAGCCAUGUUUGCAGUGGUGGGACUCCAGCUCAGAGAGGAUUGUACUGCCUAGCUGCUCCUGGAGGUCUGUGGAAAAGGGACAUGGCCACCACUUCCCAGGAGCUUGGCUGAGGCUGCCACCAUACUCAGAUUAAGCCUUCCACGGCCUUUGGUCAACCAAUGGGAGUCUCAGAAGGCAUGAAAAGUAUUGACCAGUUUUCUAACCUAACAACUUCUCCAGUCCUAGAAGAAAAUGCUCCAGUCCUAGUUCUGGACUCCAGGGAAACUAGGAAAUGAAGUUGUGGCUUGGAGUCAGUCAUUAUUUAUGGCAUUUGGCACGUAAAACCCUGAUGAACCAGAAGCAAAAUGAAAGAAAGGAGAACUGUAAACAAGGUCUUUCAGUGCUAAUUUUAACUCCAGGAUGACAAAUAGAGGUAUAGCAAUACAACAACUACAGCAACUUCAAUCAUUUUCCUAUAUUUAGUACCUCAAAAUUCAAGUUGACAGGUAUGCCUCACCUAAAUUCUGACGCGUGUCAUCUCCUGAUUUAUGAGUGCUUGGUUUUGCAGAACAAAUAAAAUUCUCCCCGUUACUUAAUGGUGCUGAAGAUAUUUCUUCUCUUACCUUUCGUUAUCUUCUUUUUCUGUUGCUACUCAUAUCUGUCACCAGUCAUGUCUUUAAAUCCUUCCAUAGAUAACCUGUUCUAUGACUUUCUCAAGCUUCUAUUUUAUGUCACAGUGUUUUUUCCCUUUGCUUUCUAUAUCAUUGGUGUACAAUCUUCAGAGUAUCAAGCAACUUACAGAGUGGCUUGAAAAGCUGAAUCACAUUGAACUCAAUGUCUGAGAGUCAGUAUUCUUUGCAACUGCUAAUAGCUUUGAGCAAGCCAGUUUAUUUUUCAGUGUUUCACUUUCUUCCCCUGAUUUCUAGUAAUGCAGAUAGAGUUCUCUUUUCUGAGUAAAAUGUAAUCUGGUAGAUAGCAAAUUGGGUUGGUAGCAGGAAAAGGGGAGAGCUUUCAUCAUAAGAAUAAAAUGGACCUAAAGGUUUUAUAAAUUAAAGGCCAAUUAUUCCCAGGAGUGCAUGGGGAGCCUUCCACAGCAAUCACUCUUGAGAAUCUGAAGGCAGAACAGGGCCUCGACCAUCUGUAUUUGGACUUUGUCAGGCCAUUUGUUUGUAACCGGAAUUGUAUUGUUGCUCUGGUUUUCAGUAAAGGGAUGUUCACUGAGGCAUCACAUUGAUAUUUUUGAAGUACGUUCCAUGUUUUCAAAGAAACAAAUUUAUCAGCAAUGAAUUGAAAUGUCUAGCUGUUUCCGUAUGCUGUAGAGAUUUCACAUCAUGCUGCUGUGCAUGUGCAUUCAUUUUUCACCUGCUGGAUGUAAUGGGAACAAGUUCAAUACAUGAAUGAAAGCAUGUUAACAAGGAAGUGAUUUGGCCAAACCAUGCUUCUUCCUCCUAACAGAUAAAAAAAGCCCUGAAAAAACAAAGGCUGAAGGCACAAGCUUGUUUUCAUUAAUCAUAAAUCAGAGACGAUCCCCAAAUAGUAUAGUAGGAGGCAAUGUUGACAGUAGACCUGUGGGAUUUUAACAAACUCGGCUCCUGUUCUUUGUUUUACCUAUAUCUAGGUUAACUACUGUCUGAAAGAGCUUUGUGGGAAAAUCUCAUCUUAUUAUCUUAAAUAAAAAGAGCUGACUAUUUGUGGAAAAACUCAUCAGGCUUUCAUUUUCAAGUCCUGUACAAGGCUGACCCUUUGUCUGAAGUAUUAAAAAUCCCACAGUGGAUGUAUAAAUUAUGGCCUAUAGUAAGGACUUUGGGACAUUCCACUGAGUAUGUUCACAAAAUUUGAGUAAGGCUGUUGUUCCAGAUGAUGCAUGUGGCUCACAAUCCUGAGAGCUGAAAAGCUCCCUGCAAGACCAAGAGGCCAACCAGACUGAUUCUUUGGACUUUGAACCUCCAAUGUUACCUGCUAAUAUGGCACAUAGAGCCAUGACUGAAAGUGCCUGGGUACUAUGAGGAACACCUAUACUUCUGGGACCAACAGACCUCAGUCUGCAUCAUGGUUGACAGGAUUGCAAUAUCUGGUAUAUUUUCUGCAGUAUUUCUCAGCAAAAAGAGCAAGGCUAGAGAUGAAAAUUCGAAAAACCUCUUAAUGGAGUAUUUUAAAGUCUAGGAUCACAGCUUUUGAGGUCCCUAGUACCAAUGAAACAACCAACUAGAUACUGUGGGUCAGAAGGAGAAAAGAGGAAGAGAGGGAAAGGAAACUACAUUGAAGGAAGGUGAUUCUGUUUGGAAAAAAUGUCUCAUACAGUUUGGCAACUCUUACCAUGCUGUUGCCAACUUGCAAGUUCAUAUGAGGUUUACAGCAAGUUACAGGAAGAAUAAAAUGUUAAUCAUGUGCAGAACCUUAGUUGUAUUCUCGCCAUCUAUUUCAACAACAGUAAUAGCAUACAGACUAAGAAGUGAUUACAGAAUGACAUAAGCUUCUUUUCCAUUUGAAUUUGAAAAUGUAUUUCCAUUUAAAGCUUAAUUUUUAUGUGCUUCAUCCAAAAUUAAGAAAACAAGAGGAUGUGAUUUCCAAGCACUAUAUAUAGGCUGGAUCUGGUGUCAAGUUUUUCUAACAGUUAUUAGCGGUGUUAAAAGCAGUGACUUUUAACACAGUAUCUAAAAAAAACUUACCAGCAUUUUAUGGUGGCUUAAAAAAAAUACAAAGGACAACAAGUUGAAACAUGGGAAAGAUCAGUGACAAAGGUACUUAGUCAACAAAAGACUUAACUGCAUGUUGCAGAUUGUAUCUUCUUACAAAAGCCUUUCAUUAAUGAACUAUGUGUUAGAAAGUCUGUUCAGCUGAUUAAACUUUUCUAUAUCUGAAAUUGUUUAUGAGUUAUAAUUACCUCCUUCAAAACCUUCUUUCUUCUUGUAACUGGCUACAGACUUGAUGAAAAGUAUUCAGUCUUUUCCUUUCACACAAUACAAAUGGUGUGCUAAUUUUUGCCCAUGGAAAAACUAUGCUUUCAAAUACAACAAACAUCUUUAUUAUCACCUUAGUAUGCACUGGAGUCAUCCUGAUGUAUUGUAAACACAUUGGGCCCAGGAGUUCAUACAUAUGUAGCAAGUUUAUUUAUGGAAAUUCUUCAGAAGCUUGCUUGGGAUGAGUGGUCCUACUUAU
ensembl:lncRNA